rnacentral:lncRNA from 12 species
AUGAAGGCUUUAAUCCUGACUGGGCUCAUCCUGGUCUUUGCCAUUUGUUUCCCGUUCAGUGAGAGUCAGCAAUCACAGCGCCGGGCAAGAGGGAAGACCAUCAAUAGUCGAUCAGUGCAAAGUUCCCCUGCCAGGACAUCACAAAACAGAUCUCCAUCCACCCAAGUCAAUAGGAAACCUCAAAUCCGUUCUCGUGCCUCUGUCUCAUCUGUGUUGCCUAACAAAGCAGCCAGCCAAUUAUCUUUAAAUUCUAGGAUAUCAAGUAGAAAGAAAAAAACUGUCCUGACAGCAAAAAGGCAAAGUCUACAAGUCAGGCCUAAGAAAAGUACAUUAACUUCUGCCAAUAAAAGGCUGACCCCCCUUUCGUCUGGUUUAACAGGACGAAAUAUUCCACGGAGCACAAGUAAAACUCUAAAACAGCCUAAGAAAAAUCAGAAGACAACUGCCAAGAAACAGUCAAAAAGGACUGCAGUAGCACCAAAGCCAUCUUUAGCAAUAAAGAAAAGUCAAAAUGCACCUAAAAGACCCCUGCCCCCCUCUGCCAAGAAGCAGCUGAAUUUCCCAAAAGUAGCUAAGGCGGCAUCAAAAGGAACUUCAGCUUCAAAGAAAAGUUCACAGAAAUCAAAGAAAAUCCAGUCUCCACCUGCUAAGAAGAAACAGUUAAAACGACGCAAAACUAAAUCAGCUCCAAAAACAGAUCUACCUAAGAAGAAAUCUCAAAAUAUUUAUAAACUAACCAUGUCUGUAUCCAAAACACAAUCUAAGUCCACGACAAUAAAACGUUCCCUCAAAACUUCCUCAGCUCCUAAGAAAAGACCAACUAAAUCUCGCAAGACUCCAUCAUCAUCUGCCAAGAAAAAACAGAAUCGGCCAAAAGCAGUUAAAGCAGUCCCCAAAAACAAUGUAGCCAAAAAGAAAACUCUAGGGAAACAAAAAAAUAAACAGUUACGUUCAGUCAAAAAAGGGCCAGCUAAGGCAACAGCAACAAGAGCAGUUUUAAAAGUCAAAAAGAAAAAUCUAACCGCAUCUAAAAAGACAGCAUCUAUGCCUGCCAAGAAAAAGCUCAAUCAGCCAAGAAAAGUUGCAACAAAAAGGAAAAUAUCUAAAGCCAAAAAUAAAGUGUCAACAAAAUCCAAAAACUUUAGUGCACCUGCCAAGAAACAAGUGAAUCAACCUAAAGUACUUAAAUCAGUACUACAGACACAACCAACCUCAAAAAAAAUACCAAAGAAAUUGAAAAGCUCCUUGCCCCAAACUGCCAGGAAGGGGUCAAAUCAAUCAAAAGAAAGCAAAUCUCCAGCUCUCAGAAAAACUCCGGCCAAAAAGAAAAAUCUAAAAAAAUCUAAACCAGAUGCUAAAAAACUGCUCAAUGGGUCUAAAUCUGCUCAAGCUGGACCAAAAAGAUCUUUAGCCAAGAAGAAAACUCAAAAGAAAUCUCCACAGAAAGGGCCCACAGCAGGUAAAAAAACUGUGAAAAUAAUUCCUGCAAAGAGUAAAGGUAUAAAACCAACUAAAAAAAGGCAGCCUCCCACUCUAACAGCAAAGAAAAGGCUAAGUAAAUCCAAAAAGAGACGAUCUAAACCUCUUAAGAAAGGUGUAAAUCAACUUAAACCCCUCAAAGGAAAAAAAAGACCAUCUUCCACAGCAGGCAAAACUGUAAAACAACCAAAAAAAGGGAAAUCUAUACUUGUCAAAAAGAAGUUGAAACCAUCUAAACACAAAGGAUCUAAAUCUGUUCAAAAUCCACAGAAAAAGUGCCUGCGUAACAAAGUAAAAAAACCAUUUCCAUUAAAUGUACCAUCUAAAGUUCAUCCCUGUCUACAACCAAAUCGACCACGUAAGUGUCCACUGACAGCUCAUCAAAUCUAUCCACCUCCACUAAGACCAUGGCCAGGUGUCCAACACCCCCAUAUACACCAGCAGCAGCAUCACCGACCUCAUUUGCCUCAUAAGCCACCCUGUCAUAAACCAAAACCUCCAAAAAGGCCAACAGGAACAGAAGACAGUACAACUGGUAGCCUGACCAAUGCAAUCACCACGACACCUGGAGCUGUCACUAAUUUAGCUUCCAUCACUAGCACCACGUCCAAUAGCAAAACAUCUCCAUCAGUUGCUCCAACUAGUAUAUCUGACACUGCAACUGAGGGAUCAAAUGCAAGCACCAGAGCACCUGCAACUCUAUCUCCAACGGCUCCCACCAUGGUCCAUGUGACGUCAUCUACUAACUCAGCAACAGAUGUUGCCUCCACCACAAUUGCCCCAGCAUCUGUGGUGACCUCAGUGGAAUCCACAUCCCAAGAGUCCACUGUUUCUAGGGCUGCAACCUCCAUGAACGCAGGGGCUACUUCCACCACUGUACCUGAUUUUACCACAGAGGUCUCAGAAACUGAAGCGAACACAGAAGAAGAUGCCACUCUCUCA